GCCGGGCAUGGUGGCGCAUGCCUGUAAUCCCAGCUACUCAGGAGGCUGAGGCAGGAGAAUUGCUUGAACCCUGGAAGCGGAGGUUGCAGUGAGCCGAGAUUGUACCCUUGCAAUUCAGCCUGGGUGACAGAGUGAGACUCUGUCUCAA
rnacentral:SRP_RNA from 1 species